AGUGAACGCUGGCGGUAGGCCUAACACAUGCAAGUCGAACGGCAGCACAGUAAGAGCUUGCUCUUACGGGUGGCGAGUGGCGGACGGGUGAGGAAUACAUCGGAAUCUACUUUUUCGUGGGGGAUAACGUAGGGGAACUUACGCUAAUACCGCAUACGACCUACGGGUGAAAGCAGGGGAUCUUCGGACCUUGCGCGAUUGAAUGAGCCGAUGUCGGAUUAGCUAGUUGGCGGGGUAAAGGCCCACCAAGGCGACGAUCCGUAACUGGUCUGAGAGGAUGAUCAGCCACACUGGAACUGAGACACGGUCCAGACUCCUACGGGAGGCAGCAGUGGGGAAUAUUGGACAAUGGGCGCAAGCCUGAUCCAGCCAUACCGCGUGGGUGAAGAAGGCCUUCGGGUUGUAAAGCCCUUUUGUUGGGAAAGAAAAGCAGCAGGUUAAUACCCCGCUGUUCUGACGGUACCCAAAGAAUAAGCACCGGCUAACUUCGUG
rnacentral:rRNA from 1 species